AGCGAACGCUGGCGGCAGGCCUAACACAUGCAAGUCGAACGAACUCUUCGGAGUUAGUGGCGGACGGGUGAGUAACACGUGGGAACGUGCCUUUAGGUUUGGAAUAACUCAGGGAAACUUGUGCUAAUACCGAAUGUGCCCUUCGGGGGAAAGAUUUAUCGCCUUUAGAGCGGCCCGCGUCUGAUUAGCUAGUUGGUGAGGUAAAGGCUCACCAAGGCGACGAUCAGUAGCUGGUCUGAGAGGAUGAUCAGCCACAUUGGGACUGAGACACGGCCCAAACUCCUACGGGAGGCAGCAGUGGGGAAUCUUGCGCAAUGGGCGAAAGCCUGACGCAGCCAUGCCGCGUGAAUGAUGAAGGUCUUAGGAUUGUAAAAUUCUUUCACCGGGGACGAUAAUGACGGUACCCGGAGAAGAAGCCCCGGCUAACUUCGUG
rnacentral:rRNA from 1 species